rnacentral:rRNA from 1 species
UACGGAGGGUGCAAGCGUUAUCCGGAUUCACUGGGUUUAAAGGGUGCGUAGGUGGAUCUGUAAGUCAGUGGUGAAAUCUCCAAGCUUAACUUGGAACUGCCGUUGAUACUAUAGAUCUUGAAUGCUGUGGAGGUGAGCGGAAUAUGUCAUGUAGCGGUGAAAUGACUUAGAUAUGACUAGAACACCAAUUGCGAAGGCAGCUCACUACCCAGACU